AGUUAAUAAAUUUAAAUAAAUUUAUAUCUUGAAAAUAUAAUUUAGAAAUUAAAAUUUUCUAUUAACUU
rnacentral:tRNA from 1 species